GCUUUGAAGCUUCAGUGUCAUAUGUAACAUCACUAGCAUAAGCUGUUCCACAAGGUCCUCAACGUCUCCUGAAUACAUUGUGUCUGGGACAAUGUACUCCUCAUAAUCGACCCCCAGAAGCACGAUCACGCCCAUUCCGGAAGACACUCCGAUCACCUCCACCGUCUCCUCAAUGAGCCGCCUUUCUGAAACCUGUGUUUUUACAGGAGACUGACGUACCCAUCUUCUGAAGGGUCCACUUUGUCCACGGAGACCAGAGGGGAAUGUGGAACAAGGAUCUCUCUGGCCCUUCUCUCCUGAUCUUCAUUGUUUAAUCAGUGGGUCACAGUUGUUCCUGCUAUACUCACCAUUCUUCGAUGAAAUGUAAGUGUUAUUUCCAUCUGUUACAACACUGAAUGCCGUAAAUCUGUGUUGCUCUACUUCAAUUUUGUCUCCACACUUUACAUAGGCUACUGCCUUUCUUGUGACACGUGUGGCAACGCAUUUACAUUUCAGUGGCUCCGGACGGCUGUAUGGACUGCAUGUUGCCAUUGUGAUGCUAAGAACAAAUACACAGAAAGGGUAAUUAUGAAACUUGUUAAUCUGAUUCAAACAGGACACAAUGCAGUUAAUAUGUUUACUGUACAUACAAAGUUACAAUUGAGCUAUCUUUUUUUACUUCAUACUCCACAAGAAUGUAUUUAUUAAUUCAUGUAAUGGAUUUUGAUGUAUUGAACUUUCUUGUCAGGGAGUGAAAAAGGGCAGUCUCUGACAGCAUACCCUUUCUUUUUCUUUUUACUUCAUAACCUGACAGGAUUUCUCUUUUUUUAAAUGUGCAGAGUGUUUUAGCGGCAUCUAGCGGUGAGGUUUGUGAAUUGUAACCAACGGCUUAGCCCCUGCUCACCCGUCCCUUUAGAGAAGCUUUACAGAUUUUGUGAAGUAAAGAUUUUCCUCAGAAAAUAAACUUUCCCGUCAGGAAUUGAAGAAAUCCUGUUUCUGACAGGAA
ensembl:lncRNA